rnacentral:tRNA from 1 species
GUUUCUGUAGUUGAACUACAACGACGGUUUUUCAAGUCGUAGGUCCUGGUUAGAAUCCUGGUAGAAACC